UCCACCGAUUGAACACAGGUG
rnacentral:piRNA from 1 species